CAGGGCUACAAAGUCAGGGGCGACCGCGCGACACACAACGCCCACUCCGCCAAAAAGCCCGGGGAACGACGCCGAGUGGGACCGCCAGGGGGGCUGCUGGCUUUAGCUCAAGACAUGGCUCCCGGCCCUCUCCAGAGCAAAUGACCAGAUGGAGAAAGAGAGAAAGACGCGGGGAUGGAGGCGCGCUGACUUGUAUAACCUCAUCUCAGAAAGGACGUACCGUCACUGCGGCAGUAUCCCGGCGUGCACGCGCACGGAGCCUGAUGGAAGGUGCAGGUGCUGGGGUUCUGGCACAUAAAGGCCUAGAUCAAGGUCACCUUGCCCAAGCCCUGACGAGUUCCUUCUUCCCCAGAGCUGCUCCCUCACGUUCUCCCUCAGUUAAAGCAAGAAGACAAUCCGGCUUAUUUCCACAUGCACGGGGUGGUCGGUGCCCUCGUAGCCCCAGAGAGCAGCACAGGCCAGCACGUCGGCACUGCCCGACACAAGUCCACGCCGGCCUUCUGGGAUCCCACUGACAACUGGAGUCUGGUGUCAGACCGUCUCGAAGCUCCGUGACCUCCGAGCAAAACAAAACACUGCCGCAAACUGGAAGGCAGCCUGAGGUACCAGGGAGAAGCUGGGAAGGUGUGUGGUUGCUAAAAGUUCCAGCAUUCGGGAUUCUCGCUCAGGAGACUCGCUCGGGGAUGGGGCAACAGGGCUGUGAGAAGACACCGCCAAGGGACGAGUCUGAAGCACAGAGGAUCAGAAGCUGAGGCAUCACGUCUCAAACUAUCAUUGAGCGUGUUCCUUGUAACCCGGGCAGUCACAGUGUUCG